UACGUAGGGUGCAAGCGUUGUCCGGAAUUACUGGGCGUAAAGGGCUCGUAGGCGGCCAACUAAGUCGGAUGUGAAAUCCCCAGGCUUAACCUGGGAACUGCAUCCGAUACUGGAUGGCUUGAAUUCGGGAGAGGGAUGCAGAAUUCCAGGUGUAGCGGUGAAAUGCGUAGAUAUCUGGAGGAAUACCGGUGGCGAAGGCGGCAUCCUGGACCGACAUUGACGCUGAGGAGCGAAAGCUAGGGGAGCAAACGGG
rnacentral:rRNA from 1 species